rnacentral:rRNA from 1 species
AGCGGGGUGUAGCAAUACGCCGCCGGCGACCGGCGCACGGGUGAGUAACGCGUAUGCAACUUGCCUAUCAGAGGGGGAUAACCCGGCGAAAGUCGGACUAAUACCGCAUGAAGCAGGGAUCCCGCAUGGGAAUAUUUGCUAAAGAUUCAUCGCUGAUAGAUAGGCAUGCGUUCCAUUAGGCAGUUGGCGGGGUAACGGCCCACCAAACCGACGAUGGAUAGGGGUUCUGAGAGGAAGGUCCCCCACACUGGUACUGAGACACGGACCAGACUCCUACGGGAGGCAGCAGUGAGGAAUAUUGGUCAAUGGGCGCGAGCCUGAACCAGCCAAGUCGCGUGAGGGAUGAAGGAUCUAUGGUUCGUAAACCUCUUUUAUAAGGGAAUAAAGUGCGGGACGUGUCCUGUUUUGUAUGUACCUUAUGAAUAAGGAUCGGCUAACUCCGUGCCAGCAGCCGCGGUAAUACGGAGGAUCCGAGCGUUAUCCGGAUUUAUUGGGUUUAAAGGGUGCGUAGGCGGCCUUUUAAGUCAGCGGUGAAAGUCUGUGGCUCAACCAUAGAAUUGCCGUUGAAACUGGGGGGCUUGAGUAUGUUUGAGGCAGGCGGAAUGCGUGGUGUAGCGGUGAAAUGCAUAGAUAUCACGCAGUACCCCGAUUGCGAAGGCAGCCUGCCAAGCCAUGACUGACGCUGAUGCACGAAAGCGUGGGGAUCGAACA